GAUUGGUAAGUGGUGGUGCGAGAUGGAGCCCUGCCUGGAGGAUGAAGAGUGCAAGACGCUGCCUGACAACUCAGGCUGGAUGUGUUACGCUGGGAACAAGAUCAAAACCACCCGGAACACCCAACAACCUGCAAGCAAAGAAUACCUCUAACUGCAAAGAUCAAUCCAAGGACCCAGACAUUCAGCUUACCUUACAGUUAUACGUGUGAACAUCCCUGUAUGGAAAGGUGUGAAUUCUCAAAGAAACUGCUGCUCAAGGGCACUGAGAUGAUGCAGCUGAAGCAUAGCAAUGGGGAACCCAGUGAUUUCACAAUGUUGUUUGAUGGAACACUGCAUUUGGAUGUACAGCACAUCUGAACUGUGUCUGAUAUUCGUCUGAGAAUCUACUGCCGCCACUGUCCCAGCUCUUCGUUCUCUGGUAUCAGCAAACUCAGACAGACUCGGCGAAAGAGAGACAUUUAUGGGUUACUUUGAGGAAAACUUGCCGUGGGGCCUCAGGAUUCUGUAUAUACCAUGUUUCAGUAUUUUCAUGUGAACAAGAACAUUGUCUACAGUAUGAUGGUGGUGAGAUGUAAAUGAUUCCAAACUCUGAUCUGUUCUGUUCUUGUCCAUGUGUUCCAGAUUCCAGACCACAGCCAAAGGUCUAGUGUUUCUUAAACAUACAAUAACCUAUAGGUGUAUAUCAUGUGGGGAUGCAACUGUACAUUGGAAUCAUUUGGCCAAUAACAAGACAUGUUUCUUUUAUCAAAACCGUUUUUGUACUUGAAUUCCUUAGGUCAUCUCUGUUGCUUCCUUUUAUAGUUCAGUUAUCCAUCAAACGUUUACCAAAAAACACAGUAGGCCUAUUUAGUUGUUUUUUACUUCUUUAGAUGCCUUAUGUGUGUCAAAUUCUUCAACAACAUAUUAAAAGUCUACCAUUGCUUUGUGCAUAAAUAUUAAAUUAAACUAUG